CACAGGUGGUGCAUGGCUGUCGUCAGCUCGUGCCGUGAGGUGUUGGGUUAAGUCCCGCAACGAGCGCAACCCUCACUCUAUGUUGCCAUCGGGUAAUGCCGGGCACUCUUAGGGAACUGCCGGCGAAGAGCUGGAGGAAGGGGGGGAUGACGUCAAGUCCGUAUGCCCCUUAUGUCCAGGGCUACACACAUGCUACAAUGGCCGAUACAGAGGGUUCCCAACCCGCGAGGGGGAGGCAAUCCCACAAAGUCGGUCUCAGUUCGGAUUGCAGGCUGCAACUCGCCUGCAUGAAGUCGGAAUCGCUAGUAAGCGCAGAUCAGCAGGCUGCGCUGAAUACGUUCCCGGGCCUUGUACACACCGCCCGUCACACCACGAAAGCCGG
rnacentral:rRNA from 1 species